AUGGUUAAUUAAUUAUUUUUUUAUUUAUUGUAAUUGGUUUCAUAGAAAUAACUUUAUUUGUAGUAUCUUUUAUUGAAAUAAUUAUUUUAUUUAUAGUUUAUUUUGUACUGUGAGGGAUUUUAUUGUUCUAUUUAUAAGUAGUUUUAUUUUAAUGUACCUUUUGUAUCAGGGUUGAUUAAUUUAAUAUAUUUAUCUUAUAAGUUUCCCGAAAUUUGGAGAGAUAGGUUUUAAUUGUUAUUUAACGUUUUAAAGUUAUUUAUAAAUUGAGUUUAGUAAUGAAAUGUUAUUCGUUCCUGAAUAUCUGGUUUUACAGGAAUUAAAUUUAAUUUAGGUUCAUAUAAUUUAAUUUGGGUAUUUAUAUUCUUAAAUUUUUUGUGAACUUAUGCUUUUGGGGAUAAGCUCAGGAGUAAUCAUCUAUAAUUAUAUUGUGAAGGGAAGAUUAUUGUAGGCUUGAAAUCAGCCAUCAUAUAAGUUCGUUGUAGAUUAUUCUUUUAAUUUUUUUAUUUUGAUAGAGUUUAGUUUUUUACUGUAAUCAUUGAAUUAAUUUAUCUUUUAUUUUAAUAAUGAUUAAAUUAGUAUAUUUUUGAAUUGAACCAUAGGAACUCGGCAAUUUUAGUGCUCGCCUGUUUAACAAAAACAUGUCCUUUAGAUAUUUAUAUAAGGUCUGACCUGCCCAAUGAUUAAGAUUAUUGAAUGGCCGCGGUAUUUUAACCGUGCUAAGGUAGCGUAAUCAUUUGUCUUUUAAUUAAAGGCUAGAAUGAAAGGUUGGACGAAGUAUUAACUUUCUUUGGUUUAAGAAUUGAAUUUAACUUUUAAGUCAAAAGGCUUAAAUUUACUUGAAAGACGAGAAGACCCUAUAGAUCUUAACAUUACAAGUAAAUUCUGGUAUUUAGGGAUUAUUUUAUUUGGAUUUUUUGUGUUGUUUGAUUGGGGUGAUUAUAGAAUUUCUUUAACUUCUAUUAUUUUAUUCAUUAAUUGGUGUUUUGUUGAUCCAGUUUUAUUGAUUAUAAGAUUAAGUUACCUUAGGGAUAACAGCGUAAUUUAAUUGGAGAGUUCAUAUCGAUAAUUAAGUUUGCGACCUCGAUGUUGGAUUAAAACAAGUAAUGGGUGCAGUAGUUCAUUAACUGGGUCUGUUCGACCCUUGAAUUUUUACAUGAUCUGAGUUCAGACCGGCGUGAGCCAGGUCAGUUUCUAUCUUUAAAUUUAUUAUGUAAAUUAGUACGAAAGGACCAUUUACAUAGAAUAUUUCUUUAUUUUGGUUUAAUAUUAAUU
rnacentral:rRNA from 1 species